GACGAACCGUGCGAACGUUAUUCGGAAUCACUGGGCGUAAAGGGCGCGUAGGCGGCCUGAUAAGUAGGGGGUGAAAUCCUGUGGCUUAACUGCAGGGCUGCCUCCUAGACUGUUAGGCUCGAGCACGGUAGAGGCAGAUGGAAUUCCCGGUGUAGCGGUGGAAUGCGUAGAGAUCGGGAAGAACAUCGGUGGCGAAGGCGGUCUGCUGGGCCGUUGCUGACGCUGAGGCGCGACAGCGUGGGGAGCAAACAGG
rnacentral:rRNA from 1 species